rnacentral:rRNA from 1 species
UAAGGGAAUCUUCCACAAUGGACGCAAGUCUGAUGGAGCAACGCCGCGUGAGUGAAGAAGGUCUUCGGAUCGUAAAACUCUGUUGUUAGAGAAGAACACGAGUGAGAGUAACUGUUCAUUCGAUGACGGUAUCUAACCAGCAAGUCACGGCUAACUACGUGCCAG